rnacentral:rRNA from 1 species
CCACCUUGAGUGGUUAAGGCUCCCAGUAGACGACUGGGUUGAUAGGCCAGAUGUGGAAGCCCGGUAACGGGUGGAGCUGACUGGUACUAAUAGGCCGAGGGCUUGUCCUC